rnacentral:rRNA from 1 species
CCUACGGGAGGCAGCAGUGGGGAAUUUUGGACAAUGGGCGCAAGCCUGAUCCAGCCAUGCCGCGUGCAGGAUGAAGGCCUUCGGGUUGUAAACUGCUUUUGUACGGAACGAAAAGCCUUCUUCUAAUACAGGAGGGUCAUGACGGUACCGUAAGAAUAAGCACCGGCUAACUACGUGCCAGCAGCCGCGGUAAUACGUAGGGUGCGAGCGUUAAUCGGAAUUACUGGGCGUAAAGCGUGCGCAGGCGGUUUUGUAAGACAGAGGUGAAAUCCCCGGGCUCAACCUGGGAACUGCCUUUGUGACUGCAAGGCUGGAGUGCGGCAGAGGGGGAUGGAAUUCCGCGUGUAGCAGUGAAAUGCGUAGAUAUGCGGAGGAACACCGAUGGCGAAGGCAAUCCCCUGGGCCUGCACUGACGCUCAUGCACGAAAGCGUGGGGAGCAAACAGGAUUAGAUACCCUGGUAGUCCACGCCCUAAACGAUGUCAACUGGUUGUUGGGUCUUCACUGACUCAGUAACGAAGCUAACGCGUGAAGUUGACCGCCUGGGGAGUACGGCCGCAAGGUUGAAACGUCAAAUGAAUUGACGG